CCGCCGGCGACCGGCGCACGGGUGAGUAACACGUAUGCAACCUGGCCGUGACAGAUGGAUAACCCGGGAGAAAUCCCGCCUAAUACAACAUAAUGCCGGGAGGGGACAUCCCCUGCCGGUCAAAGGGGGCGACCCCGGUCACGGAUGGGCAUGCGGCGCAUUAGGUAGUUGGUGGGGCAACGGCCCACCAAGCCGACGAUGCGUAGGGGUUCUGAGAGGAAGGUCCCCCACAUUGGAACUGAGACACGGUCCAAACUCCUACGGGAGGCAGCAG
rnacentral:rRNA from 1 species